AACAGCAAACCCAAUUUUAAAAUUGGGCUUAAAAUCAAUGACCUAGUCCAAUUCACCAUCAGCCCACCAUUAAUGGCGGAAAAGCAUUUCGAGUAUUUGAUGAAUCCUUUCGUGAUGGUGUCGCUAAUGUAUUGUCUAUCAGUAAAUGUGACUGGGUUUGUUCA